UACGGAGGGGGCUAGCGUUGUUCGGAAUUACUGGGCGUAAAGCGCACGUAGGCGGCUUUGUAAGUUAGAGGUGAAAGCCCGGGGCUCAACUCCGGAAUUGCCUUUAAGACUGCAUCGCUAGAAUUGUGGAGAGGUAAGUGGAAUUCCGAGUGUAGAGGUGAAAUUCGUAGAUAUUCGGAAGAACACCAGUGGCGAAGGCGGCCUGCUGGGCAGUAGCUGACGCUGAGGCGCGACAGCGUGGGGAGCAAACAGG
rnacentral:rRNA from 1 species